rnacentral:rRNA from 1 species
UACGUAGGGUGCAAGCGUUGUCCGGAAUUAUUGGGCGUAAAGAGCUUGUAGGCGGUUUGUCGCGUCUGCUGUGAAAUUUCGGGGCUCAACCCCCGAACUUGCAGGUGGGUACGGGGCAGACUAGAGUGUGGUAGGGGGAGACUGGAAUUCCUGGUGAGCGGUGAAAUGCGCGAUAUCAGGAGGAACACCGAUGGCGAAGG